GACGAACGCUGGCGGCGUGCUUAACACAUGCAAGUCGAGCGGUAAGGCCCUUCGGGGUACACGAGCGGCGAACGGGUGAGUAACACGUGAGCAAUCUGCCCUCCACAUCGGGAUAACCCCGGGAAACUGGGGCUAAUACCGGAUACGACCACCGACGGCAUCGUCUGGUGGUGGAAAGUUCCGGCGGUGGAGGAUGAGCUCGCGGCCUAUCAGCUAGUUGGUGAGGUAACGGCUCACCAAGGCAACGACGGGUAGCCGGCCUGAGAGGGUGACCGGCCACACUGGGACUGAGACACGGCCCAGACUCCUACGGGAGGCAGCAGUGGGGAAUAUUGGACAAUGGGCGAAAGCCUGAUCCAGCAACGCCGCGUGAGGGAUGACGGCCUUCGGGUUGUAAACCUCUUUCAGCAGGGACGAAGCGCAAGUGACGGUACCUGCAGAAGAAGCACCGGCCAACUACGUGCCAGCAGCCGCAGUAAAAC
rnacentral:rRNA from 1 species